AAUAGAUACCCCGGUAGUCCACGCCGUAAACGAUGAGUGCUAAGUGUUAGAGGGUUUCCGCCCCUUAGUGCUGCAGCUAACGCAUUAAGCACUCCGCCUGGGGAGUACGGCCGCAAGGCUGAAACUCAAAGGAAUUGACGGGGGCCCGCACAAGCGGUGGAGCAUGUGGUUUAAUUCGAAGCAACGCGAAGAACCUUACCAGGUCUUGACAUCCUCUGCCAACCCUAGAGAUAGGGCGUUCCCCUUCGGGGGACAGAGUGACAGGUGGUGCAUGGUUGUCGUCAGCUCGUGUCGUGAGAUGUUGGGUUAAGUCCCGCAACGAGCGCAACCCUUGAUCUUAGUUGCCAGCAUUCAGUUGGGCACUCUAAGGUGACUGCCGGUGACAAACCGGAGGAAGGUGGGGAUGACGUCAAAUCAUCAUGCCCCUUAUGACCUGGGCUACACACGUGCUACAAUGGAUGGUACAAAGAGCUGCGAACCCGCGAGGGUAAGCGAAUCUCAUAAAGCCAUUCUCAGUUCGGA
rnacentral:rRNA from 1 species